CCCACUUAGGUGACACAUGGGGACAGGUUGCCUUGAGUGGGCUAGAGUUGAGUACUUCCCUUCCCCAGGUCAGUUAGGGUCUGAUAAAACCCCAGCAGCUCAGGCUCUGGUUAAUUAGUGUCUCCUGCUGGCUGGCUUAUUUAAGAAGAACAGAGUGCUCUGGCAUAUUUCAGAAUGGUUCCUUUUCCCCUUCCUCUGCCAGAAGCAGGAGGAGAUUUUUCUGUGGUAUUUACUGUGGGAAUCUUGUUGAGCUCCUAGAGGCAAAUUUCACAUAUAGGUGGAGGGCUACAAUCGGGUCCCCUUGGAGUUUAUCACUCUGAGACUUGUCCACACUGAAACCCAGCAAUUCAUCAGUUACAGUUCAGGUUUUCAACCCUGGCACUUGUUCCCACAGUGGAUUCAACUUGUCAGUCUCGGCUCUGCAGAAGAAAUUUUACAAGAAACAGAAGAAAUCACAGAAGCAGACCAUAGGUGGAGAGAGUGGUGGGAGAACAGCCCAUGGAAGAUGAGGAUGUGAAAGAAAAACACCCAGCUGGUCUCCUGGAGCAGGAUGACAAUGGUUCCCCCCUCAUGCAUCUGUACUACUUCUUUGCAUGUGGCUAGUGAGCCAGAACAAGUUAUUAACAGGGGUACUAAGAGAAGCAGAAAACAAACUUAAGAAGACAUCCUCAACUUCAACUGAUUAUUCCCAUGCUCAACUGGAUUUAGUUAAUUUCUCCAAAGAAGCACAAUAUUUUAUUGGAAUGACUUCUUUCCCUGAGUCAUUCAUUUAUCUAUUUAAUAUUCAUUGAGCACUAAUAUAAAGCCAAUUGCCUACUGACACUGGUUGAUUGAUAGUCAAAAAAGUCAUCUUGCCUGCCUUCAAAUUGUGCACCGUUUAGUAUAGAAAAGAGUACAUAACAGCCAGGUUACAUAAGAGAUAUGCCUAGGGUAUCAUGGAAACAUAUAGGAAGAAAACUCGAUGGGUGAAGCAACCAAAAAAUUAUCAUACAGAAUGUAAUAGGUGAUAUGAAUCAGGUGCAGCAGAGGGCAUUCCUGCAUGAGAUAACCCCAGAAACAGACAACAGUAUGUAUGGAAAUGAAGAAUACAUUUUUAAAUAGUUAAAUAUGAGGUUUCUUGGGAUAUCUAGAUCAAGCUAUUUGGUAGACAAUUGGAUAUAAAAUCUGAAGCUUAGGGCAAAACAUGAGGGAGAUAUACAGCUUUCAGCAUAUUCUGCAAUUGAAACCAUAAGAGCUAGCAGGCUUUCCUUUGAGCAUGGUGCAGAACAAGAAGAUUAAAGAGGCAAAGUCAGGAUGCUAGGAGAAUGCCUGCACGGAAGGGCAUGAGUAAAGAGAAAAAGCCCAGGAAGGCAGCAGGGGAAGACUCAUCUAAGGAGCACAAGGUGACAUGAGUGUAUUAUGGAAGCCAAGAUGGUGGAUGUUUCAAGGCUCUAAUCACCAACAGAUUCAAAUAUACCCAAGGAGUAUGGCACCCCUCUUUGGAGCUGGAGGGCAAUUGACAACAGACUAAAGCUCCGUGAUCCUGUCCUUAGAGGACCUUUAAUUUCAAAGCAGAUCAAGGAGCCCCAACCUUCCAGUAGAGUCGCUCCUGAACACAGUCAGAGCGUAUUUCCAGGAUUGUAAGGGUUCAGAGAAUUUACUACCCCUAAAUGGACACCAAAAAACACAAUAUAAAACAAAGACUCACCACUGCUGGAAGCAUCAUUCAGAUUUAGCAGUCCCCCUCCUAGCCCUCUGUAACUGUGGUAACUGUAGGUCCCAUUUCCAUUGAUGUACAACACUUCCUGUGAGCCCGAGACAGCUGAGGUGGAGUAAGUGGCCUGGGCCGCCUCUGGUUUGCACUGCUUGUCAGCUGGAGCAGACUCGUCCUGCAAUGACAACAACAUUCCAUUAGUUAUCAAAUCACUCGUGCUAUUUCACCUUGAACUGGACUAUCUUAUUGUUAUCUACAUUUCUGCAAAAGAAAUUGAAUAAGAAAAAAUAUAUGGUCAACAUUAAGUCAACACAUACACACAUUUUCAACCACUUUGCUAAAAACAAAAAAAGAAAGCAAAGUAACAAUGUGAGACAAAUUGGAGAUGAAGCAAUUUACAACUUCCAACUGAACUUAAAAUUACAUUAAGAGAGUUGUUCACAACAGCCAAGAGAUAGAAUAAAGCUAAAUGUCCAUUGACAGAUGAAUAGAUAAAGAAAAUAUGGUAUAUAAACGUAAGGGAAUAUUAUCCAGCCUUGAAAGAAGGAAAUCCUGUCAUAUCCUACAAUUUGGAUGAAACUUGAGCACAUAAUGCUAAGUGAAAUAAGCCAAUCACAAAAAGGAGUCUAAAUUAUGCAGAUGAACUACAGUUUCCUUCUCCCUCCUAUGCCUUUUGUGGGCCCUGGCAAAGGGAAUGAUGGGAGGCAGUCCUGCGCGGAAACCAGUGGACAGCACGUAAGAACGCUCCAUUUCCGGUCAGCAGCUCAUCCAGAGUUGCAGUAAAAUGCUAGGCUGAGCCCUCCACUCUUUUUUGUCCAGAAUACUGGAGCAGAGCUUUUCUGACUUGUUGAAUCACGUCCUGUGUUACAAUGCAGGGGUAGACUGAAUUAUUCCUGGAAAGACUAAUGAGUCUGACUCCUCUUUGCAUUGGGCCCUGCGGCCACAGUGACAGCUCAGCCCCAGGUUCUCAUCUGUGCUUCAUGAACACAGCCUCUUGAGUUACUGGAUACAAAAGCAUCCAGUUCAUUUACUUCCUAUCUGAGAUUUGAAGAACAUGGGGGCCUGACAUGUCACAAAGAAAGGAGAUGUGGGCCCUUUCCUCCCCCUGAGCAGGUUGCUCAGAAAGGGAUUAAAGGAAGGAAUUUGAAGGCAGGGAGCCCUGAAGUUUAUCCCCUCAGUCUUGUCCCAGAUGAGUUCAGGCUGUUAAUGUGCUCACCUUCAUGCUAAGAUGCAUACAACUUUUCAGAACCUGCCUCAAGUGGGCGCCUCCAUAAUUAAUAAAUCUCUGAUGAAUUUUCUAUAGUGCUUUCAUAUUCAGAGAAAAGCAAUAAGGUAAGCAAAGAAACAAAAGAGAUAUAUACAUACAUAUGUUAAUUUUGGUUUGAUUUUAGAACAGACGAUACACAUUUAAAGCUUGGUCAGCACUUUAUAGCUAAUGAAUGGACAGUACCUUUCAAGAAGCAGCUCAUUAAUAAUUGGUUUCCUCCUCAUCAUUAAGAAGCACUUAUUAGUAGUCUAAUUACAGAUGGCCUCAAUUAGGGGAUAUGCACAGGGUUUUUUUUUCAUGAAUCACUGGAUUCUGUAAGAGCUUUGUGUCUAAAGCAGAAAGAACAUUUUUAAAUUUAUAUAGCAUUCCCAUCUUAGCAUCUAUUAGAACUAAUCAAAAUAUUUAGGAAAAAAUAAAAGAUUAAGAUUUUUUUUUAAAAAAAGAAGAGUUUUUGUAGGUGUGUGGAGGUGUGUAAAGUACUCACUAUGUUUGACAGCAACAACAUAAUCGAGUACAUAUAUUUGCUACAUUCAUGAAAGAGCAAAGCAUAUGUCAAUAGGGCUAAUAUUCAGCUUCUGUUUUGUAAAUUCCAUUUCCAAUGUUUGUACUCUCCACAUCUAUCAUUGAUUUCAGAUGACUAGCAUUUCUUCAUCUUUUGACAUAUAUUUCAUUUUGUAUGAAUUUGCACUAUGUACACUACAUAGGAGAGCAAGAAUCUGCCAGUCUCCUGAUGAUAAAACUCAUGUAAUUUAAAAAAUAAAUAUAGUGAAUAGAGACAUUGGCCCUACUUCAAAUCUUUAAAUCAAUAAAACUCAAAGAUAAUUUAUAAAUGUUUUUUUCGUUUAAAUAGCUUGGAGGUAGUUAUAUAUUUUGCAUUUAUAGGCACACUUUAAAUUCUAUGCUUUCAGUAGUUUUGUUGAUAAAUUAUUAGGUGUGACUCAUGGGCAUAAAGCCAUACACACAUUCUUCUAAAAAUGGAAUGUAAAACUUGGACUUAGUCCAUGUUAUGGGUUGAAUUUGCUAACACAAAGAAUCAGCAUUGAUGAUUUGGAGAAUUUUCCAGAUAGUGUGCUCUGGAAGCAGGGUGUGGCUGGAUAACUCUAUGCUAAACAGAUUAGCACAUUGUGUUACUGAUGGGUCCAAUCAACCAUCUGAGCAGGGCGAGAAAUAGAGACGAGAUGAUCCAGGAAGGAUGUGUGAAAAACCCUCAUGUCAAAUAGUGUGGGUCACCUCCACAUCCACGAAGACUGACACAGGCUUUUUUUUUUUCAGGGGAAGAUUCGCCCUGAGCUAACAUCUGUUACCAAUCUCUCCUUUUUAUUCCCUCCCCAAAGUGCCAGUGCAUGGUUGUAUAUUCUAGUUGUAGGUCCUUCUAGUUCUUCUAUGUGAGCUGCAGCCACAGCAUGGCAACUGACAGACUGGUGGUGUGGUUCUGUGACCAGGAAAUGAACCUGGGCCACUGAAGCAGUGAGUGACUAACUUUAACCACUAGGCCAUCAGGAUUGGUUUCUGACAAUGGUUUUGAAAAUUUUAUACCAGCAGAAAAACUGCAAUCCUGAACUUAAAGGGACAGAAAAUGGGAUGGGAUGAAAGAAGAGUGACUCCUACAGCAAAGCCAAAGAUGUAGAGACCAGAGAGGGCAGAACUGACUGAGGCUGGCUGAUCAAAUGUCCUCAGGCUGAGAGGGCAGGGCCACUGCCAAGGCAGGCCAAGAGGGUGGGGCUGCUACCCAGCUGGGCUGGGAGGACAGAGCAUGGAGCCACAGAUGAUGAUUCUCAGGCCUUGAAAUCUAAUGGAAUUUGUCCUGCUGGGUUUUGGACUUGCUUGGGACCUGUGACCCCUUUUCUCCCUUUUGGAAUGGGAAUGUCUAUCCUAUGUCUGUCCCAUCCUUGCAUUUUGAAAGCAUAUAAUUUGUUUUCUAGGUUUCACAGGUCCACAGAUGGAGAGGAAUUUUGCCCCAGGAUGGACCAUACUCUGAGUCUCACCCAUUUUGGACUUAAAGGUUUUAGAAAAUAAGAUUUGAGACUUUUUGAGUGGAUUAGAUUUAGUCUUACAGGCUGAAGACCGCAGUGCAGAGAACUUCCAAUGGCCUAAGUCAGCAGAAAAGUCUUCCUUAAGUUUUUCCUGGAGGAAAUAAUAUAGAAGAGCAUCUCUCUUCAAAUACCAUAUAUGGAUUUAGAUUAUAUUGAUAUACCCUCAAUUUUUGUGCCAUUGAAGUGAAUAUAUUUUUUGUUUUUAAAUACAUUCUUAAAGGGCGGAACUUCCUCCAGAGCCUGCAGUAGCACUGGUAUCAAACUGCUCUCUUCAGCCUGCUGCUCUGACAACUAUCCAGGGGCAAACGUCAGG